rnacentral:rRNA from 1 species
AGUCGAGCGGUAGAGAGAAGCUUGCUUCUCUUGAGAGCGGCGGACGGGUGAGUAAUGCCUAGGAAUCUGCCUGGUAGUGGGGGAUAACGUUCGGAAACGGACGCUAAUACCGCAUACGUCCUACGGGAGAAAGCAGGGGACCUUCGGGCCUUGCGCUAUCAGAUGAGCCUAGGUCGGAUUAGCUAGUUGGUGGGGUAAUGGCUCACCAAGGCGACGAUCCGUAACUGGUCUGAGAGGAUGAUCAGUCACACUGGAACUGAGACACGGUCCAGACUCCUACGGGAGGCAGCAGUGGGGAAUAUUGGACAAUGGGCGAAAGCCUGAUCCAGCCAUGCCGCGUGUGUGAAGAAGGUCUUCGGAUUGUAAAGCACUUUAAGUUGGGAGGAAGGGCAGUAAAUUAAUACUUUGCUGUUUUGACGUUACCGACAGAAUAAGCACCGGCUAACUCUGUGCCAGCAGCCGCGGUAAUACAGAGGGUGCAAGCGUUAAUCGGAAUUACUGGGCGUAAAGCGCGCGUAGGUGGUUAGUUAAGUUGGAUGUGAAAUCCCCGGGCUCAACCUGGGAACUGCAUUCAAAACUGACUGACUAGAGUAUG